rnacentral:rRNA from 1 species
GAUGAACGCUGGCGGCGUGCCUAAUACAUGCAAGUCGAGCGAACAGACGAGGAGCUUGCUCCUCUGACGUUAGCGGCGGACGGGUGAGUAACACGUGGAUAACCUACCUAUAAGACUGGGAUAACUUCGGGAAACCGGAGCUAAUACCGGAUAAUGUAUUGAACCGCAUGGUUCAAUAGUGAAAGACGGUUUUGCUGUCACUUAUAGAUGGAUCCGCGCCGCAUUAGCUAGUUGGUAAGGUAACGGCUUACCAAGGCAACGAUGCGUAGCCGACCUGAGAGGGUGAUCGGCCACACUGGAACUGAGACACGGUCCAGACUCCUACGGGAGGCAGCAGUAGGGAAUCUUCCGCAAUGGGCGAAAGCUUGACGGAGCAACGCCGCGUGAGUGAUGAAGGUCUUCGGAUCGUAAAACUCUGUUAUUAGGGAAGAACAAAUGUGUAAGUAACUAUGCACGUCUUGACGGUACCUAAUCAGAAAGCCACGGCUAACUACGUG